rnacentral:rRNA from 1 species
GACGAAGGUUGCAAGCGUUGUUCGGAAUCACUGGGCUUAAAGCGCACGUAGGCGGCCCUUCAAGCGUCUUGUGAAAUCCCCCGGCUCAACCGGGGAAUGGCUGGGCGAACUGAAGGGCUUGAGGCAGGUAUGGGCAGGUUGAACUCUUGGUGGAGCGGUGGAAUGCGUAGAUAUCAAGAGGAACGCCGGUGGUGAAGACGACCUGCUGGGCCGGUUCUGACGCUGAGGUGCGAAAGCCAGGGGAGCAAACGGG